CACGUAGGGUGCGAGCGUUGUCCGGAAUUAUUGGGCGUAAAGAGCUCGUAGGCGGUGUGUCGCGUCGGCUGUGAAAACCCGAGGCUCAACCUCGGGCCUGCAGUCGAUACGGGCAAACUAGAGUACUGCAGGGGAGACUGGAAUUCCUGGUGUAGGCGGUGAAAUGACGCAGAUAUCAGGAGGAACACCGGUGGCGAAGGCGGGUCUCUGGGCAGUAACUGACGCUGAGGAGCGAAAGCGUGGGGAGCAAACAGG
rnacentral:rRNA from 1 species